AACGAACGCUGGCGGCAUGCCUAACACAUGCAAGUCGAACGAGACCUUCGGGUCUAGUGGCGCACGGGUGCGUAACGCGUGGGAACCUGCCCUUAGGUUCGGAAUAACUCCCCGAAAGGGGUGCUAAUACCGGAUAAUGUCUUCGGACCAAAGAUUUAUCGCCUUUGGAUGGGCCCGCGUUGGAUUAGCGAGUUGGUAGGGUAAAAGCCUACCAAGGCGACGAUCCAUAGCUGGUCUGAGAGGAUGAUCAGCCACACUGGGACUGAGACACGGCCCAGACUCCGACGGGAGGCAGCAGUGGGGAAUAUUAGACAAUGGGCGAAAGCCUGAUACAGCAAUGCCGCGUGAGUGAUGAAGGCCUUAGGGUUGUACAGCUCUUUUACCCGGGAUGAUAAUGACAGUACCGGGAGAAUAAGCGCCGGCUAACUCCGUG
rnacentral:rRNA from 1 species